rnacentral:rRNA from 1 species
UACGUAGGGGGCAAGCGUUGUCCGGAAUCAUUGGGCGUAAAGAGCGUGUAGGCGGCUCGAUAAGUCCGCUCUGAAAGCCCGGGGCUCAACCCCGGGAGGCGGGCGGAUACUGUCGAGCUAGAGUCCGGAAGAGGCGAGUGGAAUUCCUGGUGGUACGGUGAAAUGCGUAGAGAUCGGAAAAGAACACCAAACGGCGAAAAGCAUCUGCUGGGGCCGACACUGACACUGAGAGACAGAGCUAGGGGGGAGCGAAAUGGGG